AAUCAACGCUGGCGGCGUGCCUCAGACAUGCAAGUCGAACGCGAAAGCUCCUUCGGGGGACAAGUAGAGUGGCGCACGGGUGAGUAACACGUAGGUAAUCUACCUUCGGAUGGGGAAUAACAACCGGAAACGGUUGCUAAUACCGCAUAAUGCAGCGGCACCUAAUGGUGACAGUUGUUAAAGCGGGGGAUCGAAAGACCUCGCGUCUGAAGAGGAGCCUGCGGCGGAUAGCUAGUUGGUAGGGUAACGGCCUACCAAGGCGACGAUCCGUAGCCGGCCUGAGAGGGCGGUCGGCCACACUGACACCUGAC
rnacentral:rRNA from 1 species